GCCAACAUCUCGAGACAUCGCCGCUACGUCUGCGAUCUCCACUCCUAUAGACAGCAAAAUCGUGAGCUCCGCCAUGUUGCUCUCCUUUAUAUGGUGUUGGAGUCUUCUGCCUAAGUGAUAAUUUUGUGUUUGUUUGGUGGUGGUUUUGGUUUGGAUUGGUGGGGUGGUUAGAUAAUGUUUUUUCGGUCUUUUUUUUACUCUUUUCUGGAUUUUGCUUUCUUGCAGGUCUAUGUUGAUUUUGGAUUGUGUUUUCAGGUGUUAUGUGAUUUCUUUGUCUUUUUCUCUGACUGAUAAAGGCGGUGAAAGAGGUGAUGCGCGGUGGUUAUCUCAUCUAAAGGCACACAUUAAAAUGAAUCGGUGAUCGGUCGGUUUGCCGUUGCUUUUUUGGGAUUAAGCUGUGGGCUUAUUUUGUGAGUUUAGUAUGCAUUUAUGGGCUUUUGGUUGGAGUUUUCUGCUAAUGAGUAUUUUGGACUUUGGGCUUUUGACUCCUUUAUAUAUAUUUU
rnacentral:lncRNA from 1 species